GACACAGAGGUGGUGGGGGCAGAGGAAGGCACAGAAGUUGAUGAAAGGCCAGAGGACAGGCCACUGCAGGGACUUCAGCUUUUACUCUGAGAUCAUAAGCCAUUGAACUUAGUGGCAUGAUUCCACUCAUAUGGUAGAAGUAUUACUCUGGCUGCAUGAAAAUAGGCUGCAGGGGAGGGCAAAAAAAGAAAUCCUUUAUCACCCACAUUAUCAUGGGACAUCAGAAUGAUCAAUUCUGCAAUCAACCUGGAUUUUAAUAAUUGUGACUUCAGAAGGAAGAGAGGAAGAGAAAAAGGGAGAAUAGAAACAGUCUUUUUUUUUCCCUACUACCAGGAAGUACAGAAGAAAGACUGUUGAAGAGGACACUAUGGCCAACAGCAUGAGGAUGCAAAUCCUAGCCAGGUGCAGAUAAGCAAUAUUCUACAAAGUUCAAAUUCCCCAGGUGACAGCAGUUCUGUCAUUUGCCUCAGGAGAUAAGUCUAUCAUCUAACACUGCCAGCAAGAUGUUGCUGAGAAACAGGAUUCUUCAAACUGUGUUCUAGUAUAUCUCCUCAAAAAGAUGCAAAUCCAAAUUGAAGAGGAGACCUCAAAAAUAGAAAAGAAGAAGAAGAAGAAGAAGAAGAAGAAGAAGAAGAAGAAGAAGAAGAAGGAAAAAUACAAGUUUCUCUGCUUCUAAACCCUAAGCUUACUACAACUUUAUUUUCCUUUUAGCUAUCACCCAAAAGACAUUGGGGUACGCACAUAGCAGCAGUGUAAACCCUCGGUAGAUUUCUGUAAAUGAACAUGCCAAGUUCAGAAAGGGUCAGGCUUUAAGUGGUAUCUCAAAAUAGAAGCCACACAAUGACCUGACUAAAUUAUUGUAACCCUAAACUUACCUUAUUGUUGGAAAUCUAGAAAAUGCUGAGAAUGGUACCUGAUUCUAUUGGCUCUCUGGUGCAGGACAGAGUGGUGUAAUGGGAGUCAGAAAACUUGGGCUCUAGACCCAAUCCCCUUACAAACCUAAACAAAAGAAUAAACCAAAAUACUGAUUUUUUAAAAAGUGUAAUACAUCUUUCUCUAAAUAAAACCUCACACCAAAAUUCAGGAUAUAAAACAGAUAAAAGUAGCUGUCAUUGACCGAUUGCCCAUCAUCCUUAUGGUGAUUCCCCCAGUCAGAGCACAGUUUGUAAACCAAUGAUCUUUAUUUAGAGAGGUCCCUGAUCCAGGUGAAAAGCCUUUUCAUUUAAUAUGGAUUCCUGGGCUCACUCCAUCCAGAUCAUCUGAGUCAGAGUCAGGAAAGUAUAUUUUCCACAGCCCUUAGGUAAUUCUUAAGAUGCUCAGCUGGCUGGUAGGGAUCAGCAUUUAAAACUACUACAGUAGAAUCUAAUUUUUUCAAGUAUUCAAAUCAACAACAACCAGAUAAAUAACAUAUGAUUCCCUCUCCACAGUAUAAGACUAUUAUUAUUAGUCUCAAGUUACCAUAUUUAUAACAGAUGGCUUGUAAAUUGUGCCAUGAUUCCAGCUGGGUCACACAUACUUACGUAAUAAAAGGUAAAUACUGAAUUAUUUGCAAGAAAUUUCCAUUCCUAAUCUCCUUACAAAAGCUUCUCCUUUUCACCAUCAAAAAUUUUUCACUGGUUCUUUCAAAUUAUGUUAUCUCUUCCGAGAGAGUAAGAGGGGCCACCAAAAUGCAUCCCACAAAUAGAGGAAAUGUACCUACUGAGUCACUAGUCCAGGGAUUAUAACC